rnacentral:rRNA from 1 species
CGGCAACAGCUCAAAUUUGAAAUCUGGUCCUUUCAGGGCCCGAAUUGUAAUUUGUAGAGGAUGCUUCGGGGACUGCUCCGGUCUAAGUGCCUUGGAACAGGACGUCACAGAGGGUGAGAAUCCCAUAUGUGGUCGGUCGCCGUCCCCAUGUGAAGCUCCUUCGAC